rnacentral:rRNA from 1 species
GGACUCCUACGGGACGCAGCAGUGAGGAAUAUUGGUCAAUGGUCGGGAGACUGAACCAGCCAAGCCGCGUGAGGGAUGAAGGUACAGAGUAUCGUAAACCUCUUUGGACGGUACCUGACUAAGAAGCCCCGGCUAACUACGUGCCAGCAGCCGCGGUAAUACGUAGGGGGCAAGCGUUAUCCGGAUUUACUGGGUGUAAAGGGAGCGUAGACGGCUGUGCAAGUCUGAAGUGAAAUGCCGGGGCCCAACCCCGGAACUGCUUUGGAAACUGUACAGCUAGAGUGCAGGAGGGGUGAGCGGAAUUC